rnacentral:misc_RNA from 1 species
CGCCACCAUCAUAAACCAGAGCAUACGAUAUAUUGAAUUUAAAGACGACAAUUUUCUGCCAUUGUUCGUUUUGAUAGAAAACGCAUAGGUCAUGUCGUACAGAGAUAGAAGAGAACACAAAGAGCGGUUCGGCGAUAUGGAUGAUCCACCAAACAGUCGCCUCUUCAUAGUCUGUAGCAGGGAUAGCAAGGAGGAGGAAUUUCGCGAGAUAUUCGAGAAGUACGGCAAAGUCGAAGACAUAUGGAUCGUCAGAGACAAACAUAGCGGAGAACCAAAAGGUGUUUGCUACGUGAAGUUCUCUAAGUCUUCAGAGGCUGCGCUGGCCAUGGAGGAGAUGCACGGAAGAUGCGUGGGCCAGAAUCCGAAACCCAUUAAGUGCAUGAUCGCCACUAACCGCGCAGAGGGAUCGAAGAGAGAUGCUCCGAACGAGGAGGGUAGGAUGUACAGACUAUUCCUCAUCGUGCCGAAAAGCCACACGGAAGAGGACGUCAGGGAACAUUUCAACAAGUUUGGUGACAUCGAUUAUGUGACAAUCAUCAAGGAUAAGUCGACUGGUGACCCAAAGGGCUUCGCUUAUGUGAAGUUCCACAAGGCAUCUCACGCGGCACUGGCACUGGAGAACUGCGACUCGUCAUACAGACCGAAAUUUGCCGACCCCAAGUUUUCUGCGGGAUGGCGAGAGCGGGACAAGAGGGAUAACAAGGAUUACGAUUCACGUAGCCAAUAUUCCGAAGCGUACGGUCACAGCCACAACCAAAGCCAGCAGCCGGACUGGUCGAUGUACGGCGUCGGCACGGGACAGCAGCGGCUUCAACGUUCUCGUCUCCUCCUCCGUCACUACGAGCAGGUCUACCGACUCUUCGACCUCAUCCCUGGCCUCGAAUACUGCGACCUCAAGACGGAUGCUAACACCGGCAAGUCGAACGGCUACGCGAUCAUCAAGUAUAGCUCGGGACAGGCGGCGACCUACGCUCGCGAGAAGAUGCACGGGUUUGAGUACCCGCCCGGCUCGAAGCUCAUCGUCAAGUACAACGACGAGGGCGACCCCUGGUCAUCCGACGGGUCGGGAAACAUGAACCCAGAAGUGGCCAAUCAGCUUCAGGGGCUGGCCAGUGCACUCCAUCAAGCUACUGGGAUCCUGAAAGCUGCUGGGUUACCUGUUCCGGACAAUCUGCGGCAGGUUGAGAGCAUGGAAACCCUUCCAAGCUACAACACAACCUCUUACAGCACAACAGGCAGCAUGACCCCUGGUUAUUGCUCCGCCCCGCUUCCCGGACCCCCCCUCCCCCUCGCCGACAUCAAAACCCCGGAGGAGAUUCGAUUGUUCCUCGUCUUUCAUCCGGAGCCGCCGCCGCUGUACACUCUGAAAGAUGUGUUCAGUAGGUUUGGAGAUCUGAUUGAGGUGUACUGCGUGGGACAUCGUAACAUCGGCUACGCAAAGUACGCGUCGCGCGAGGCCGGUGAGAGAGCCAUGGCAACGCUGCACAUGCAAGAGAUAUGCCACGUGAGGAUGAAGGUUCUGGAGGCAGACCCGCCGAGCGAGAACUCGGCGCGCAAACGCCAGAAGCUGUAAAUCGGCCUAGUUGGAUUCUGGCUGAUGCGCAUUAUGUAAUGCCAGCAGGACGGUGACCGGUAACCUCUGCUGGAACUUCAGUCUACGGAUGCUGCUGCUGCUGGCGAUGCUGCUGGCGACACACGUACGUGCGAUCCAGUGUCCAGCGUUGACCAGUGUCUGAUGGCUGCCUUCGUCUCUGCGUGUGUCGGCGUCCGGGAGGGAGCGUGCGGAGAGCUGUGAGGACGCGGCGAAGGCGAGCAGUGUAGAAGAUGCGAAGUCACUGAUGUGGUCUCGUCCGUAAGUCUGCCUGCCUGUAUACUGAUGAAUGAAUCCAUCACUGACCGACCAAUCACCGAUGACAAGACAAGCAGAGCAGACGCAUGCCCAACGGUCACAGCGACCACCAGGUGGUGCAGCUACUUGCCCAGUUGCAGUGCCACCUAUAUUCAAAUGUGUAUUAUCUCAGAUACGAAGUGUCAUCUAUUGCAACACAUCAAGACAAAUUAUUCACGUAUGCUGCAUAACAUCGUUGAUUCAGAUUUGCUAUGAUAUCGGAUAUGUAACCCUGUAGAUUCAUGUAAUGCUUCUCUAUCAAUCAUUUCAUUACAAUGUAAUUCCACAUCAAUGUUUACAUUACUAGAUUUGUGCUGUAACUAAAGUUAUAAUUGUGAAUGAGUGUACAUAGAGACGUGAAUUAGCCAGUGUGAUCAUAUGCUAUUUUGUUUGAUGAAAAUUGUCAGUUAUUGUUCAUAGUUCACGUGAAAUAUAGUUGUAAUAAAUGUUUUGAGUUUCACUGAA